GAAUCGCGAUAGGAAGUGCGAAUUGCAGAAUUCAGUGAAUCAUCGUAACUUUGAACGCAAACGGCGCUUCGGGGUUAACCCGGAGCAUGCCUCUCUGAGUGUCGGUCAAAUCAUCUGUAUUCCAGAAUGUGAGAGUCUGCGGUCUCUUUAAAAAUACCAAGUGUAGGAAAAAACGAAAUUGGCAAGUCUAAUGGAGCUGAUGUUACAUGUGACCCCAAUCUAGUCUUUCUGAACAUGAACUGCAGUGAAAGCUGCAUAUUACUGACCAUCGACCUCAGAUGAGGUAAGAAUACCCGCUGAACUUAA
rnacentral:misc_RNA from 1 species